GGGCCCGCACAAGCGGUGGAGUAUGUGGUUUAAUUCGACGCAACGCGCAGAACCUUACCCAGUCUUGACAUCCCGUUGCCAGCCCACUAAUCUGGGUCUUCUCUUCGGAGACAAUGGUGACAGGUGCUGCAUGGCUGUCGUCAGCUCGUGUCGUGAGAUGUUCGGUUAAGUCCGGUAACGAGCGCAACCCCUUUCAUUAGUUGCUAACAUUUAGUUGAGAACUCUAGUGAUACUGCCGGUGUUAAACCGGAGGAAGGUGGGGAUGACGUCAAGUCCUCAUGGCCCUUACGACUGGGGCUACACACGUACUACAAUGGCAUUGACAAAGGGCAGCAAGACCGCAAGGUGGAGCAAAUCCCAAAAACGAUGCCUCAGUUCGGAUUGGAGUCUGCAACUCGACUCCAUG
rnacentral:rRNA from 1 species